rnacentral:rRNA from 1 species
CCUACGGGGGGCUGCAGUCGAGAAUCUUGGGCAAUGCGCGAAAGCGUGACCCAGCAAUGCCGCGUGCGGGAUGAAGGUCUUCGGAUUGUAAACCGCUGUCACUCGGGACGAAAAAAAUGACGGUACCGAGGGAGGAAGCCACGGCUAACUACGUGCCAGCAGCCGCGGUAAUACGUAGGUGGCGAGCGUUGUUCGGAUUUAUUGGGCGUAAAGGGUCCGCAGGAGGUUUGUUAAAAUUGGGGUGAAAUCCCGGAGCUCAACUCCGGAACUGCCUUGAUGACUGACGAACUAGAGUGCUGGAGAGGUAAGCGGAAUACCAGGUGUAGCGGUGGAAUGCGUAGAUAUCUGGUAGAACACCGAAAGCGAAGGCAGCUUACUGGACAGCAACUGACUCUCAGGGACGAAAGCGUGGGGAGCAAACAGGCUUAGAUACCCCGGUAGUC